AAAAAAAAUACAAAAA
rnacentral:sRNA from 1 species